ensembl:lncRNA
AUAUCCAAGGAAUGGCUGCUAAGGAAGAACAAUGACUAAUUGUUUCCUCUCUUUAGGUUCUCAACUAUGAUUCCAUCCGGACCUGUUGUGUUAAUAAUAAUAAAAAAAAAAAAAUAAAAAAAAAGAGAGACUGAAAACCAUGGUGUUUAUGUUUGUGUGUAUUGGUGUUGUCCUGUUUGGUUGUCUAUGUGUCGUUGUGUAUUUGUUGUGUUUUUAUCCAAAUAUUUCUGCUCCUACUAUUCUAUAUCUCUAAUAGGUACGAGUGCAUGCUGUCCCAGAAAUAUUCAGUGCAGCUCAUUGACAUUCUGGGAGUGGUUGCUGUGCUCGUGGCUAGACAUCAGUGUUUCAUCGCAUCAUCACAUCACUCGUUAACUCUACGUCAUCUGAGAGACCUGUGCUAAAGUCUACCAGCUGAUAUAUAUAGAUUUACAUAUAGAUCAAAAGAUAUUUUUAUUCUCCCAUUUAUACCAGUAGUCGUGAGGAAAUCUAUACCUUGCAGGUGAAGGGUAAGGAAAGGAAAGGUAUGAGAUGUUGAAAACGAUCAACGAAAGUUUGGAAAUAAACGACAUGGUACCAUAAGGACAAAUAUCUUCAACUACUAUCUGCCAAGGGCAAGAAGAGAAAGAACGAUGAUAGAGUUUAGAGUUGGGAAAGAUGGAAGGCUGUGGUAAGUCCUCAACCCAGCAAAAGUCCAGGGGACGCCAGGGGUCGAAUUUCCUUAGGAGUUCUCGUCUGGCCAUCUUGGUGAAGAUCUUUGUUAAUUUUAAGGUAGCUGGGGUUAGAGAGGUAUCUACAGUACUAUCUAUCUGAAAUUUUGCUAUUAAUUUUCUAUAUUUUCCUGUAUGCAUCAUGUAUUUUUCUUUUGAAUUACUCUGUAUUUCUGUAUUUUUGAUUUUGAUUUAAGGAAAAGGUUGUGGCGAGUCUUUUGAUAAGACUCGAGUGGGGGAUUGGUGUGUGGAGAUUCUAAGAAAUCCACAUGGUGAUAGAGAUUCUGAGAAGAAGUCCACGUAUUUAAAUUAAACCCAAGUGUUGUUGAGAGAUUCUGAGAAGUCACAUACUCAGAAUGUGUUCUAUUCAUAAUGAUAAGUUUAAUUUCAAAAGUUAAAAAUUAAUAUUUCAUGGUAAGGAUAUAUAUUAACAGGUUUCAUUUUUAUAUUCAAAAAUUUAUUUGAUAAACUUUGUGGUAUAUUUCAUAUGUAAUUUCACAGCAUUUCUAACUGCGUAGUCAGCUGAGUCUGUUUUGCAUAUGAAGUUGAACUGCAUGUAUUGUUCUUUUGUAUCAAUAUUUCUUAGAAUUAUCAGUAUGAUACUUUGAAUGUAAAAGAGGAAGAAGUCCAAAAUCGAGACAUUGACUAGACUAUUUUUAAAGGUCAGGUGUUAUUAGUGAUAGCCAGAUGACGACUUAUGUCUAGAACAACAGUAUAUAAGAUAGACUCUGCAAAAUAGAAUAGGGUUUGACUUUCUGAGACUCUGGUCUCUCUAUCUUUUCAGCUCACUUCCUCUUCUUUGGCUUCACUCGACAACUCUUAGACUCAGACUUAGAACUCUUACAGGUUUUUAUUCAAAUUCAGAUACCUUGAAAUUCAGAUACUUUGAUACUCUGAUACUUUAAUAUUUUAAUAUUUUAAUACUAAUAUUUUGGUACUUUUGAUUCGAACAGAAUAAUUGUUUAUGUUUUACUUACAAUUUUAUUAAUGUUUUGAUUAAUACUGGUUGGGUUCAAUCCAUUAUAAAUGGAUUGUUAUUAAAAAUGUACUAACAUUGGAUUUACAUUUUCUAUAUUUGAAGGUUGUUAUUAUUAUCCAGAACUUUAUUUCCAAGUUAUGAUUUGUGGUUUCUGUUCUCUAUAUUCUUUUUAAUAAAUUUACAUAUUAUUACACCUUGACCGUCUGAAUUGGAUUAAAUUUUGCAUCACCUUCCCUCCAGCUUAAACCCGUGGUGUCUGGGAGCUCCACGGGAUGAUGGUAAUUGGCCCUGUUUCAGAACAGAGAGUUGAUGGUGGCGUCAUCUAAAGCCGUCGCCAUGGCGAGCCCGCAGAACUCCCAGGUGAUGUAGAAGCAGUCAUUGAACUUCUGCGGAGACGGUGUUUAUCCUCAUUAUUACAUCAUAAAGUAGAACAUUCCACAAGCUGUCGUUUUGGCAGAUUGGCCUCAAUAUAAGCUGUUUUUAGACUAAAAUGAACAUUUUGAGUUCUGAAACUUACAGGAUGUUUUUAUAGUACAAUGACCUCAUAUAUGUCAAAAGAUCAAGGGAAUAUUACUUUCUCAGUUAAUGGCCCCUUUAACUCACCUGCCUAUAGUUUUCAAGUAAGCCUGAACACCUUGAUUAGCUGGUUCAGGUUUGUUUGAUUGGGGUUAAAGCUAAACUCUUCAGGGGCAGGAUUGAUCUUCAGCAGGGUUUCUCAAACAGGGGUUCAG